UAGGGAAUCUUCGGCAAUGGGGGGAACCCUGACCGAGCAACGCCGCGUGAGUGAAGAAGGUUUUCGGAUCGUAAAGCUCUGUUGUUAAGGAAGAACGAGUGUGAGAAUGGAAAGUUCAUGCUGUGACGGUACUUAACCAGAAAGGGACGGCUAACUCCGUGCCAGCAGCCGCGGUAAUACGUAGGUCCCGAGCGUUGUCCGGAUUUAUUGGGCGUAAAGCGAGCGCAGGCGGUUAGAAAAGUCUGAAGUGAAAGGCAGUGGCUCAACCAUUGUAGGCUUUGGAAACUGUUUAACUUGAGUGCAGAAGGGGAGAGUGGAAUUCCAUGUGUAGCGGUGAAAUGCGUAGAUAUAUGGAGGAACACCGGUGGCGAAAGCGGCUCUCUGGUCUGUAACUGACGCUGAGGCUCGAAAGCGUGGGGAGCGAACAGG
rnacentral:rRNA from 1 species